AAGUUUGGCCUAAACUGAAUUCGU
rnacentral:siRNA from 1 species